AACGAACGCUGGCGGCAGGCCUAACACAUGCAAGUCGAGCGAGGACUUCGGUCCUAGCGGCGGACGGGUGAGUAACGCGUGGGAACGUGCCCUUUGCUUCGGAAUAGCCCUGGGAAACUGGGAGUAAUACCGGAUGAGCCCUUUGGGGGAAAGAUUUAUCGGCGAAGGAUCGGCCCGCGUUGGAUUAGGUAGUUGGUGGGGUAAUGGCCUACCAAGCCGACGAUCCAUAGCUGGUUUGAUAGGAUGAUCAGCCACACUGGGACUGAGACACGGCCCAGACUCCUACGGGAGGCAGCAGUGGGGAAUCUUAGACAAUGGGGGAAACCCUGAUCGAGCCAUGCCGCGUGAGCGAUGAAGGCCUUAGGGUUGUAAAGCUCUUUCAGCUGGGAAGAUAAUGACGGUACCAGCAGAAGAAGCCCCGGCUAACUCCGUG
rnacentral:rRNA from 1 species